UACGUAGGGCGCAAGCGUUGUCCGGAAUUAUUGGGCGUAAAGAGCUCGUAGGCGGCUUGUCACGUCGGGUGUGAAAGCCCGGGGCUUAACCCCGGGUCUGCAUUCGAUACGGGCUGGCUAGAGUGUGGUAGGGGAGAUCGGAAUUCCUGGUGUAGCGGUGAAAUGCGCAGAUAUCAGGAGGAACACCGGUGGCGAAGGCGGUUCUCUGGGCCUUACCUGACGCUGAGGAGCGAAAGCGUGGGGAGCGAACAGG
rnacentral:rRNA from 1 species